rnacentral:tRNA from 1 species
GGGGUUGUGGCUCACAGGUUGAGCACUUGCCUAGCAUGCAUGAGGCACUGGGUUCGAUCCUCAGCACCACA